UACGUAGGGGGCAAGCGUUGUCCGGAUUUAUUGGGCGUAAAGAGCGUGUAGGCGGUCAGGUAGGUCCGUUGUGAAAACUCGAGGCUCAACCUCGAGACGCCGAUGGAAACCCCCUGACUAGAGUCCGGAAGAGGAGAGUGGAAUUCCUGGUGUAGCGGUGAAAUGCGCAGAUAUCAGGAAGAACACCCGUGGCUAAGGCGGCUCUCUAGUACGGUACUGACGCUGAGGCGCGAAAGCGUGGGGAGCAAACAGG
rnacentral:rRNA from 1 species